GGGUCAGUAGGUUGGUCGUGCCACCGGUACGUACUGGUCUCACUGAUUCCUCCUUCCUGAAGAACCGUAAUGCCAUUAAUUUGGUGUUGCGGGGAAACAGGACCGUUACUUUGAAAAAAUUAGAGUGUUUAAAGCAAGCUAACGCUUGAAUACAUUAGCACGGAAUAAUGAAAUAGGACGAUCGAUCCUAUUUUGUUGGUUUCUAGGAUUGACGUA
rnacentral:rRNA from 1 species